GACGAACGCUGGCGGCGUGCCUAAUACAUGCAAGUCGAGCGAAGUUUUUCUGGUGCUUGCACUAGAAAAACUUAGCGGCGAACGGGUGAGUAACACGUAAAGAACCUGCCUCAUAGACUGGGACAACUAUUGGAAACGAUAGCUAAUACCGGAUAACAGCAUUUCUCGCAUGAGAGAUAUUUAAAAGUUGGUUAUGCUAACACUAUGAGAUGGCUUUGCGGUGCAUUAGCUAGUUGGUGGGGUAAAGGCCCACCAAGGCGACGAUGCAUAGCCGACCUGAGAGGGUGAUCGGCCACACUGGGACUGAGACACGGCCCAGACUCCUACGGGAGGCAGCAGUAGGGAAUCUUCCGCAAUGGGCGAAAGCCUGACGGAGCAACGCCGCGUGAGUGAAGAAGGAUUUCGGUUCGUAAAGCUCUGUUGUUAGGGAAGAAUGGAUAUGUAGUAACUAUACAUGUAAGAGACGGUACCUAACCAGAAAGCCACGGCUAACUACGUG
rnacentral:rRNA from 1 species